rnacentral:lncRNA from 1 species
GGCUAUUGGCUGCCUUGCGAAGCAGGCCCGUGAAUGAUAAAUUCAGAAUAACCACACAAAUUUUCCAUGGAAAAGUAAAUUACAAAGGGAAGAGACAAAAAGGAGAUGUAUUAAUUAAGAAAUUAUAAAUUUGUGGAAGUCACAUGAUGAUAUGACUAAAGGGAAAAAAGCUGCUGCAAUCUAUAUGAGAAAUGUUGUACUAAAUCUAGCCGUACCAAUAGUAAUAUUUGGGAUGAGAUAUGCAACAUUCAAAUAAAGAAAACUAGUGUGAAAUGAGUAGGAAUGUUUCAGAAUCUCUACAUCAAUGCAAUUCGAGGGACCUUUUGUAUUUGUCUUCCAUCAAAUGACUCAGGAUUCGGAUUCUCCCCUUUUAUGGG